AUCUACAACAUGACCUUGCAUUCUAAAUAACUACUCAUUACAUGAUCAGGGUCAGCGAUCAUGCGUCUUGCCAGGCUCAAACUGAUCCCCUGCUGUCUCUCCCUAUCACUCCCUCCCUCUCACUCAGUAUAUUGUAUAAGUAUUCAGCUCCCUGAGUUCAUACAUGUUAGAAACACUGUGGGCAGCAAUUACAGCUGUGGGUCUUCAAACUCUGUCAAGAUGUUGGGGAUCAUGGCUAGACAGUCAUUUGAGUCUUGCUGAAAGAUGAAUUCCUCUUCCAGUAUUUGGUGUAAAGCAGACUGAAGCAGGUUAUGCUCUAGGAGUUUGCCUGUGCUUAGCCCUAUCCCAAUUCUUUCUUUCUUUCCUGAAAAACUCCCCAGUAUUUACCGAUGUCAAGCAUACCGAUACCAUGAUGCAGCCACCAUCAUGCUUGAAAAUAAGGAGGCAGUUGCUUAGUAAUGUGUUGUGUUGGAUUUGACCCAAACAUAGGGCUUUGCAUUUAGGCCAAAAAGUUUAUUCCUUUGCCAUGUUUAGUUGCAUUAUUACUUUAGUGCCUUGUUCCAUACGGGGCGGCAGGUAGCCUAGUUGUUAGAGUGUAGGGGCGGCAGGUAGCCUAGUGGUUAGAGUGUAGGGGCGGAAGGUAGCCUAGUGGUUAGAGUGUAGGGGCGGCAGGUAGCCUAGUGGUUAGAGUGUAGGGGCGGCAGGUAGCCUAGUGGUUAAGAGUGUAGGGGCGGCAGGUAGCCUAGUGGUUAGAGUGUAGGGGCGGCAGGUAGCCUAGUGGUUAAGAGUGUAGGGGCGGCAGGUAGCCUAGUGGUUAGAGUGUAGGGGCGGCAGGUAGCCUAGUGGUUAAGAGUGUAGGGGCGGCAGGUAGCCUAGUGGUUAGAGUGUAGGGGCGGCAGGUAGCCUAGUGGUUAAGAGUGUAGGGGCGGCAGGUAGCCUAGUGGUUAAGAGUGUAGGGGCGGCAGGUAGCCUAGUGGUUAGAGUGUAGGGGCGGCAGGUAGCCUAGUGGUUAGAGUGUAGGGGCGGCAGGUAGCCUAGUGGUUAGAGUGUAGGGGCGGCAGGUAGCCUAGUGGUUAAGAGUGUAGGGGCGGCAGGUAGCCUAGUGGUUAGAGUGUAGGGGCGGCAGGUAGCCUAGUGGUUAAGAGUGUAGGGGCGGCAGGUAGCCUAGUGGUUAGAGUGUAGGGGCGGCAGGUAGCCUAGUGGUUAAGAGUGUAGGGGCGGCAGGUAGCCUAGUGGUUAGAGCGUUGGGUCAGUAACCGAAUGGUUGCUGCAACGAAUCCCAGAGCUGACAAGGUAAAAAUCUGUCGUUCUGCCCCUGAACAAGGAAGUUAACCCAUUGUUCCCCGGAAAGCAGUCAUUGUAAAUUAGAAUUUGUUCUUAACUGACUUGCCUCGUUAAAUUUUUAAAAAAGUAAAAUAAAUACAAGAUGCAUGUUUUGGAAUCUUUUCACUUGGUCAUUAAUGUGGAGUCACUAUAAUGUUAAUUCAUCCUCUCCCAUCUCAGCCAUUGAACUUUGUAGCUGUUUUAAAAAUCACCAAUUGCCCCCAUGGUGACAUCCCUGAGCAGUUUCAUUCCUGUCCUAAAGCACAGUUCAGAAGGAUGACUGUGUCCGAGGUGUCUGGGUGGUUUAACACAUAAUCCUAAGCAUCAUUAUAAACUAGACC